rnacentral:rRNA from 1 species
AUACGGAGGGAGCAAGCGUUAUUCGGAAUCACUGGGCGUAAAGGACGCGUAGGCGGGUUUGUAAGUCAGGUGUGAAAUCCUACAGCUCAACUGUAGAACUGCACUUGAAACUACAGACCUAGAGUAUGGAAGGGGCAGAUGGAAUUAGUGGUGUAGGGGUAAAAUCCGUAGAUAUCACCAGGAAUACCGAAAGCGAAGGCGAUCUGCUGGGACAUUACUGACGCUGAGGCGUGAAAGCGUGGGGAGCAAACAGGAUUAGAAACCCGGGUAGUCC